CAAGAAACGAGGCCGCGUGCGCUCGCCCGCCCGGCCCCGCUCCUUACCUUGCCUACUGCAACCGUUUGUUGCUUCCUGGCGGCGGACUGCCCGCCGCCAGGGACGUUGAUACAACCCUGUAUAGAAGCAUUGAAGCUCUGAGAAAACGCGAAAUCGUACAACUUUCAACAAUGGAUCUCUUGGUUCUGGCAUCGAUGAAGAACGCAGCGAAAUGCGAUAAGUAGUGUGGAUUGCAGAAUUCAGUGAAUCAUCAAAUCUUUGAACGCACAUUGCGCCCCUUGGCAUUCCAUGGGGCAUGCCUGUUCGAGCGUCAUCUAAACCCUCAAGCCCCCGGCUUGGUGUUGGGUGCCUGUCCCCGCUCCCCGCGCGGACUCACCCCAAAUGCAUUGGCAGCCGCCUCUCGGCUUCUUGCGCAGCACAGUGCGCAGCGAGGCGAGGUGAGGCGUGCGUCCAGCAAGCAACCACCCAAGUUUGACCUCGGAUCAGGUAGGGAUACCCGCUGAACUUAAGCAUAUCAAUAAGCGGAGGAGGUCAUUUAGAGGAAGUAAAAGUCGUAACAAGGUUUCCGUAGGUGAACCUGCGGAAGGAUCAUUAAAAGAUAUAGCAUAUUCUUCUGAAUAUACUUUAUUAACCCAUUCCGAGUACCUUACCCGUUGCUUCCCGCGAGGCUGUCCUCACGGCCCUCUGAAGAUUUAUCUUUGGGGAGUCCUUGCGGAAGGUAUACAAUAACUCUUGCAUUACCAUGUCAUCUGUCUGAAUCUGUUUAAAAACAAAUAUUA
rnacentral:misc_RNA from 1 species